UAUAGACAGGACAGCAGUUGCUUUUUGUAACUUUGUGGAUAAUUACUUAUACGUAGCAUCUUUUGUAUCUAUACCUCGAGAAUAUCAGUAUUUUAAUUCGGGUGCAAAUUUUAAUAGUACAUGCACCAACUAGACUCCCAUUUUAUGGGGAAUGUGUUCAAGUAGCAGACUUCUGCCCAUAUUACCUUGACCUUUUAAGGCAAGCUCCUCGGGGUAACUGUAGGAAAGGGAUUCCCCUAACUGCUAAUAAUGAAGCAGCAGAGACAUAUGGACCUAGGUCACGUUGUGUGGAUCACUCUGGGAAGUGGCAGAUCACUAAUGG